UACGAAGGGGGCUAGCGUUGCUCGGAAUCACUGGGCGUAAAGCGCACGUAGGCGGAUUGCUAAGUCAGGGGUGAAAUCCCGGAGCUCAACUUCGGAACUGCCUUUGAUACAGCACGUCUUGAGUCCGGAAGAGGUGGGUGGAAUUCCUAGUGUAGAGGUGAAAUUCGUAGAUAUUAGGAAGAACACCGGUGGCGAAGGCGGCCCACUGGUCCGGUACUGACGCUGAGGUGCGAAAGCGUGGGGAGCAAACAGG
rnacentral:rRNA from 1 species